GGGUUCCUACGGGGGGCAGCAGUGGGGGAUAUUGCACAAUGGGGGGAACCCUGAUGCAGCGACGCCGCGUGGGUGAAGAAGCGCCUCGGCGCGUAAGCCCUGUCAGCAGGGAAGAAAAUGACGGUACCUGAAGAAGAAGCCCCGGCUAACUACGUGCCAGCAGCCGCGGUAAUACGUAGGGGGCAAGCGUUAUCCGGAAUUACUGGGUGUAAAGGGAGCGUAGACGGCAAUGCAAGUCCGGAGUGGA
rnacentral:rRNA from 1 species